CAGUUGGGCCCUAAACAUGUCAUGGGAUUUGUGUUGCUUUCAAAGGAGCGGCUAAGACAUUUGAAGUGGUAUGCACCUCGUGGAUUGGAGCUGCCUAGAAACUCCUCCUGAUAUUGAGUGGUGGUUGUGACCUCAAAGCAGAGGAGUAUGAGCUAAUACAGAGGUGAACUUCUGCUGAACAUUGGAGGAAUCAAAAUGCUGCAGAAAAAAGGGCAAAUGGUGGGAGACCAUGGGCUGGCUGGUUGGUCCCACAGUCUCCAGCCGGUUAGGCUUCAAGAGACCAGUUUGCUUCCAGACUUUAACUGAGAUCUGUUAGAUUAAAAGGGGACCUGUAGAACUUACAGAGGAGAUUAUAGAUGACCUUAUUAGGGAUGAAUGAUUCCAAAUUGAUUUUGAUAUCAUGUAUGUAUAUAUUUCUGGUUUUAGGAAAUCUAAAUAGUAGUGUGGGAGCUUGUUUAGUGCCAGAAGGAAGGUUAUCUAUUUCAGAGUAUCAGUGUGAGUGGGUGCCCUGACCUCUUUCUUUUAGAGUGUUUCUUAUUGUUGUUCAUGCAUAAAUUGUUUGUGGAUGUGCAUAUUCUUUUAUUUUGAUGAUCUCUAAUAUGGUGCAAUUGAUGGAA